rnacentral:rRNA from 1 species
GACUAUGACCAUACCACCCUGAGCAUGCCCGAUCUCAUCUCAUCUCAUCUCGAAAGCUAAGUAGAGUCAGGCCUACUUAGCACUUGGAUGGGAGACUGCCUGGGAAGAUACGGUUCUGUAGAGC